AGUUAAACUUCGUUUUCCGCCAGUGAAUUUCAUCUGCUUGUACGGCUUAGUAUUGUGUGAAAUUCUUUGCGCAUAGGAGUUAGACGACCAAUCGUUUCCAUAUCUAUCAUGGUGCGACGAAUGAUCCAAAUGAAUAGAAAUCCAAAAUUUUCAAGAAUCCUUGAAAACGUAAAUUUGCCUUUGGACGUUUACCUCUUUGUAGCAGUCUACUUAACUUUAAAAGUCUUCUGACUUUUAACUUUGAUGUUGCCCGAGUGAAGUGAUGAGGGGAGUUUUAUUUUUUAAAAGGUCAACACCAAAAAGGAAAAAGAAUUAUUCUUUUCUCUGUGUGUAUAUAAGGAGGUUAAACAAAUCACGAGAUGGUUCAUGAGCGAUGGAAUAUGGACUCGCGUAUGGCGUCCUGUAUUUGAAGAUUUCGACGAAUUUGAGAGUAACGAUGACAAUUGCAGCAACGGCAAAGGACACGAGGACGAUUUUGAAUUUUAUUAGAAGUAGAGCUAUCCAACCCUUGAGACCACCCAAAACUGUGAACGAAGGAAAGAGAAAGAGAGAGAUAUAUAUAGAGAUGGAAGUCUAUUAUUUCACUAUGCAUUCGAAUCGCUUUAGGAUUCACACCCGGCCCCGCAUAGACGAGGACAAGAGUGUAAAGUGGUAUAAUAUAGAAAACGGAGAUGAUCAGAAGAACUUACGAAGGAGAUGAUGAUAUUUGUGUUUGCGAGAUUGCAGUCCAUUUCCGUUUGAUUCAUUGUCAUCGAUGUCAUUGUUAUUGGCGAGUUGUGACGUUUGAAUAGGAUCCGCAGCCAUCAUGCAAAUCAUCGAGACAACCAGGAAAAUCAAAACUCGCCGACGAUUCACUGUCACCGACAUUGCACGAGCUUCCGGAAGAAAGUGAAGAUUCGUUUUGGAACCGGAAUGGAUUGUGCGAUAUUGUUAUAUAUAUAUAUGUGUGAACAGCGAGGGAGAGAGAGAAAUAUACACACACCUCAAUGGUCGCAGGUCAAGAAAGCUUUGAUGACAAUGUGACAUGACAAUGAGAGACAAGAAUGACAAGAUACACGAGGUGUCAAAGCGUGAACAGAUAUUUGGACGAACGCAGGAAGGAUGUGACAAACGCACAACAUUAUUUGGGCGUUUCAAUGGUAGAUUAUAAAAAUAACUUGGAGCACGCUUCGACCGAAGAAAACUUGUGUAAGAUUGGAAUCCCCUGAAAUGGUGACACGUGCUGUCACAAAAUCAGCAUUUGUUGUUUAUUGUAUAUUUAAUAAAUCUUUUUUUUAUAGGAAUUAAAUUGGUAAAUAAAUGAACAAAAAAAAUUUUUUUUAUAAGUUUUUUUUAUUUUUUAAUAUUUUUCACAAAAUUUUGAAUUAAUAUUUUAAAAUGAGGCAGGCUCGAAUUCAUUCAAAUACUUUUCAUUUAAUAUAUUAUAUUCUGUUAACAUUUGCCUAUAAAUGAUCUCAAUUUCCCCACUGGUUAUAAAGAGCUGUUUCUAUCGUCUUCUAUGUCUCGUUUUAAAAUUUUUAUUUUAAAUUGCAAAAAUGUGCUGGCCUCUCGUUUUUUAGUCAUGAUAUACUCCAUUUUUUGAUCACAGAUUUUUCUGUUUAUAUAUUGAAGAAAAAAAUGUUAUUUUAAUUUCAAUUUUUUAAAAUCUUUUACAUUUUCAACAUGGUUUUAUGAUACAUUUUCAAUUAAUUAAUAUUUUUAUCAAUGAAAAUAUUCCCCGAUUACAGUAUAGAAGAGAUUUUUUCUUUCAAAUUAUUAUUAUUGUCGAUAAAUGUUCUCUUCAUUUUAGAUAAAAUAGAAAAAGUAUUUUUAUAUUUGCCUUAUUAUUUGGCACGAAAGUUCUCGAGGAAUUGAUUGAGAAACAAUAGUUGGAAAUUGAAGAGCUUCUUACUUUAUAAUUUCGAAAACUUUGGAUACAUAAAAUAAAUUUUCACAGUAUUUUUGCUAAAAAAAAAGAAAAAGAAA